GGCGGAAUAGUUUAGUUGGCGAGAACAUCGGAAUCAUACUCCGGGUGUCGGGGGUUCAAGUCCCUCUUCCGCCA
rnacentral:tRNA from 1 species